GUCCAGCAUUAAAGGGCAAGGUUUUCAUUGGAAAUGUUCGUUUUUCUCUCUCCUAUACAUUUUCCCCAAUUUUUCCAAAUCCCUAAUAUUCUACAAUAUUUUUUGCAAAUUUCUGCCCAAAAUCUUUUAGCUGUCGAGGAAGAAAAGGGGGACGUCGGCAGGGGAACGAAGGAAAAGACUAAAGUUUCAUUUGGGGGCUGGUGAUUGAGGAAGUGAAACCAGAAACAGAGAAAGGUCUUGGCCUAGAGGGGACACAAAGAAAAUACAGAGCAACAGCCGCUCAUCGGCCAUCGCAGCGCGCAAUCUCCAUAGCUGCCGUCACUCUGCUCUCAUCCAAUUUCCGCCGCCUCCAAGUUCCGCCACGGCACCUCCAUUUCGUGCGCCGCCUAGCUGCCUGACGCAUCUCCCCUUCCCGCACGGCCUUUCUCUCUCACUGUCGCUCCUCGAUUUCAUGUUGCCACCCACCACUGGCGCCCAGCUCCAGCGCGGCUACCAUGGCAGCUACAGCCGCCUGAUCAUUCGCACCUUCCUUCGACCAUCACCAUCACCUGCAGACUUCGCCAAGCAAACGCUGCAAAGGCUUUCAUCAAAGGAUUAUAGAAUAUUUCAUCAAGUUGAUUAACAAGAAACAUGGAAAGAACAUCAGCAACCACAAUAGACCACUUGGAAAACUGAGGGAAGCUGAACGUGCCAAAAGAGCUUUAAGCAGCCAGCAGCAAGUUAGGACUCAUGCUUGAUUUGACGAGUUGAACAAUGACCUCUUUAGCAAAAACAUGGGACUUGUCAAGAAGGCUAUGGGGGAUGCUGGUUUGGAGAACCACCAGAUGCAUGAAAUUGUUCCUGUUAGUGGGGCUACCAGGAUCCCAAAAGUCCAAUAACUUCUCAAGGACUACUUUGAUGGAAAGGAACCCAACAAGAGUGUAAAACCAGAUGAAGCAGUGGCUUAUGGGGGUGGUGUUCAAGGAGGUAUUCUAAGCCGGAAAGGUGGUGAUGAAAGCAAAGAUAAAUGCUAUUCAUACUAGCUUUUGGAAGAUAUCUAUGG